GAUGAACGCUGGCGGCGUGCCUAAUACAUGCAAGUCGAGCGAACAGAUGAGGAGCUUGCUCCUCUGACGUUAGCGGCGGACGGGUGAGUAACACGUGGAUAACCUACCUAUAAGACUGGGAUAACUUCGGGAAACCGGAGCUAAUACCGGAUAAUAUAUUGAACCGCAUGGUUCAAUAGUGAAAGACGGUUUUGCUGUCACUUAUAGAUGGAUCCGCGCCGCAUUAGCUAGUUGGUAAGGUAACGGCUUACCAAGGCAACGAUGCGUAGCCGACCUGAGAGGGUGAUCGGCCACACUGGAACUGAGACACGGUCCAGACUCCUACGGGAGGCAGCAGUAGGGAAUCUUCCGCAAUGGGCGAAAGCCUGACGGGGCAACGCCGCGUGAGUGAUGAAGGUCUUCGGAUCAUAAAACUCUGUUAUUAGGGAAGAACAAAUGUGUAAGUAACUAUGCACGUCUUGACGGUACCUAAUCAGAAAGCCACGGCUAACUACGUG
rnacentral:rRNA from 1 species